CAGGAUCCGACUGGCCUUGAACUCCUGGUGAAGCUCCUGCCUCAGUCUCUUCUGUGCUAGGACAGCAGGUGUGCACUACCACGCAGGGCUGCAUACUGAAGGUUCUGGGAUUAGCUGGGGACCGCCCUCGCUCAGCGCCCAGCCCUUAGUGCUCCGGAGGGGUGGGCUCCGGCAAGUUUGUGUGCAUUUAGUACUUUGGCGCCACCAUCCGGCGUGUCUGGGUUGAACCUGGGGAUGGGGCAUUUCCCUAAGCUCACGGCGCAGAGCGCGCACCCACAGGAGAAGCGGAAGCGAGGCUGAGGCAGGAGGAUCACAAGUUUGAGCCCAGCCAGGGGAAGGGGGUGGUUUAGGGAGACCCUGUCUCAAAGUAAGGACGUUAGAAGAAGGGCGGGGCGCGGCUCAGGGCGAAGGCCGUGUUCGCCGCAGCUGGGGAGGCGAAGCCGCUGCGCCCAGGGCCUGCAGCCGGCCUCGCCCGCGACGCCCCCAGCGCCCGGCCUCUUGCACACACCCUGACAGACAGAGUUGGGUUUGGAUAUCUUUAGCGUUUCGCUUUUGAGAAAGCGAGUGUUGUUCUUAACAGAGACGCUGUGAUCCUGCGUUGGCGGCGCGCGCGAUUACUACGCGUGAGGAUCUUGCUGUAGAGUCCAAACCGGCUUUGACCUCACGGUGAUCCUUCUGCCUCAGUCUCCAAAAUGCUGGCUUCAGUCUGCGGUAGGACAGAAGAAAUAGAAGACAUACCUAACGGGAGGCACGGACAUCACCGCUAAAAACCUGCACUUUUAGGAAGACCGUAGCUCCCAGCCGGGCACACAAGGCGAUGCCCAUCCACUUCCUCUGGCGGACUUGGGACUGUUUCCUGCCGGACUCAGCGCACUGAGAUUCCUCGGGAGUCCUGGAGUCAGGAAAUCACCUUCCCAGAGAAAGUGAGGGGUGGGAGGAGACCCCAAGUCUAGGUGAAGCCUGAGUGUGUCCGGUUACAGUGGGGAGCCCGUAGUGUCUCCUCCGCUGGGCGCCUCCCCACCUCCUCCGCCUCUCCAGAGCAGAGCGGAGCGCAGCGCCUCCCCUUUCCCUGAGCAUGUCCUGCCUCUGCCCACCGAACCUCCCGGCUUCUUCCUACCGAAAUCGGAGAGCAAGCCGGUUUCAAAAGGGCAGGCGAGGCCCUGGCUCCAGCCUGGGGUCCACCCUCGGCCGCCCUCCCGCUUCCCAUCCUGUCCCUCUCCAGUCUCCAGGGCGCCCUUAACCUUCCCCGCGAUGACCUAUGCCCCCCCCAACCCCCCCCCCCCCCCCCCCGGCUCUGAGCUCUGCCCAUCUGGGGACACUGGGUAGGGGCUGCCGGGAUCCCAGAGGACAAGUGGCCGCCUCGGGAAGGGCCUGAGAUGGCAAACGCAGCGCCAAGGCCAGCUGUCAUCAGACCACAGCCGCUGGGCUGGGGGGGGGGGGGCUGGGCGCCUAUGCAGUGCCAGGGAUCCGACCAGGCAGACCCCUUCCUGCUUUCACUGCCACGGCUCAUUAUCUCGUCUGGGCUGGAGCCCAGGGCCUCCCUGCUCCUUCACUGGCCACCUGGGAAACUCCUUUGGGGUAUCAGCAGGGCCAAGGCAGGGAAGGGGUCAGGGGACAGGAGCCGCUGCUCCUGCCCUGCCCUGCACCCUGUGCUCCAGUGCUUGGCUUCAGCACCAACAGGAAAAGAAGGAAUCGCCAUGUGAUUCCCCAGGGGCCAGGACACUCUCUCUGCUCGACCAGACUCCAGGACUUUUACCUCUGUUACGGUGACCAGGGCAACGGACAGGGUCCCGCAGGUCAGCUUGGCUGUCCUUGUCUUCCUCUGACAUGGUGGCGUCUGGACCUCAUCCAGCACCUUCAGCAAGGAUCCUGCUACUGGGUCAGCUGCCCUGUGCCUCCUCUGAGUGGCCCGUCCACCCCUCCUCCCCUGGUCGACGCCACCUCCCUGGUGCCCCUCCAGAGGGACUGGAGUCCAGUGUCCUCUCCCUAGGGACGGUCGAGACUGCCGUGGUCCCUGCCCCUUGGUCAGCGAGACCCCCGAGUGACUUUUGCACAAAAAAGAA